GAUGAACGCUAGCUACAGGCUUAACACAUGCAAGUCGAGGGGCAGCAUGAACUUAGCUUGCUAAGUUUGAUGGCGACCGGCGCACGGGUGAGUAACGCGUAUCCAACCUUCCGUUUACUCAGGGAUAGCCUUUCGAAAGAAAGAUUAAUACCUGAUGGUAUCUUAAUGACACAUGUAAUUAAGAUUAAAGAUUUAUCGGUAAACGAUGGGGAUGCGUUCCAUUAGGUAGUAGGCGGGGUAACGGCCCACCUAGCCUGCGAUGGAUAGGGGUUCUGAGAGGAAGGUCCCCCACAUUGGAACUGAGACACGGUCCAAACUCCUACGGGAGGCAGCAGUGAGGAAUAUUGGUCAAUGGACGAGAGUCUGAACCAGCCAAGUAGCGUGCAGGAUGACGGCCCUAUGGGUUGUAAACUGCUUUUAUAAGGGAAUAAAGUGAGUCUCGUGAGACUUUUUGCAUGUACCUUAUGAAUAAGGACCGGCUAAUUCCGUG
rnacentral:rRNA from 1 species